UGGGAUAAUCAUUGAUGGUAACAAAGAUAAUGGCCCUUAGUGUGAAGUGCUCCUGUCUGUACUCAACCCACAUCUGAACCUCAUCUUCCCAAAGCUUCUGCAUAUCUUCCAUCAAUGGCUCAAGGAAAAUAUUUAUUUCGAUGCCAGGUUGCUUCGGACCUUGUAUUAGAAUGGUUAGCAAAAGAAACUUUCUCUUAUGAUAUAGCCAUGGGGGAAUGUUGUAUAUGGUCAUUAGCAGUAGCCAUGUGCUAUGCGUGCUGCUUCUUUCACCAAAUGGAUUCAUGACAUCUGUACUCAACGCGAACGGUACAUUCCUUUUUUCAUCUAAAAACUCUGGAUGAUUGGCAUCGAAAGUCCUCCACUGGCGAGCAUCAGAAG
rnacentral:lncRNA from 1 species